CAGAUUCCAACGAAAAGAUGCUUGAGAGAAGAUAAGUAGCUUCUUCACCUUGGCUUUUUUCUACUUGUAAUGUUUGCAAGUCACCUGGUUUUGCUAUAAAAUUUUAUUUUUAAGCCUUCUUAGGUUGCUAAAAUGAGACCCUUUUGAUGGGUUUUUGUUUCCAAAGAGAUUUCUUUUCUUUUGGAGAAAUGCUUUUGAUCAUUUUAGAAAUGAACCCAAUAUCAUAAAUGGUCAGUUUAAUCUGUCACUGUAACGUGAUUAGCAACAAGUGGGAUAGUUAUUAGAGUUUUUCAUUUUCUUUAUUAAUGAUAAUUUGAUGGAUUUGGGGUCUCUAACUAGCAUAUAUGAUAGGUAAUUAGUUACCAAAUGCUUGUGAUUUAGGGGUUGUUAAAGGUUUCAUUUUGGCAAUAUAAUCUCUUUGAUUUGGUUUCAAUUUGAGCUCUUCUUUCUGGGUUUCAGGGCACGCGAGUUAUUUUAUUAUUUGAAAGUUGGGCAAGUUGAUUAUGGAGAAGAUCACAACAAGGCUUAUGGACACUUGCAAUUUGGACGGACUUAUGAACAAGGGCAUUAUCCUGAAUGGGAUGAGGAUCACCCUAUUCACUUUGUUGGGCAUUCUGCUGGAGCGCAGGUUGUUCGGGUGUUGCAGCAAAUGCUUGCUGAUAAGGCAUUUAAUGGGUACGAGAACACUUCUGAUAAAUGGGUGUUAAGCAUUACAUCCCUUUCUGGAGCAUUCAAUGGGACUACAAGGACCUAUUUAGAUGGGAUGCAGUGAGUGUUCUUUCCAAACUUGUUCUGCUAUUUGAAACUUCACUCUAUAAAUGGUUUCUA